UAAAGGUUUGGUCCUAGCCUUUUUAUUAGUUGUCAAUAAAAUUAUACAUGCAAGAGUCAUCAAACCUGUGAGAAUGCCCUCCAAGUCGCAUCGUGACCUAGAGGAGCUGGUAUCAAGCACACUACCGUAGCUCAUGACACCCCGCUUAGCCACACCCCCACGGGAUACAGCAGUAAUUAAAAUUAAGCAAUAAACGAAAGUUUGACUAAGUUAUAUAACAACUAAGGGUUGGUAAAUCUCGUGCCAGCCACCGCGGUCAUACGAUUAACCCUAAUUAAUAAACCCCGGCGUAAAGAGUGUUAAAGACAAAACUAAAAUAAGAUUAAAAUUUACCCAAGUCGUAAAAAACUACAGGUAAAAAAUAAAUCCACAUACGAAAGUUAUCUUAGUACACCUGAAUCCACUAAAGCUAAGAUCCAAACUGGGAUUAGAUACCCCACUAUGCUUAGCCAUAAACACAGACAUUUAACAACAAAAAUGUUCGCCAGAGAACUACUAGCAACAGCUUAAAACUCAAAGGACUUGGCGGUGCUUUAAACCCACCUAGAGGAGCCUGUUCUAUAAUCGAUAAACCCCGAUAAACCUCACCACUUCUUGCUAAUUCAGCCUAUAUACCGCCAUCUUCAGCAAACCCUAAUAAGGAAAAAAAGUAAGCACAAAUAUACUCAUAAAAACGUUAGGUCAAGGUGUAGCUAAUGAAGUGGUAAGAAAUGGGCUACAUUUUCUUACCUUAAGAAUAUUAACAGUAAUCUUUAUGAAAUCUAAAGAUUUAAGGAGGAUUUAGCAGUAAAUUAAGAAUAGAGAGCUUAAUUGAAUUCGGCCAUGAAGCACGCACACACCGCCCGUCACCCUCCUCAAAUACUCACUCAAAUUUAUAUACAUAUAAAUUACAACCAAUAUGAGAGGAGACAAGUCGUAACAAGGUAAGCAUACUGGAAAGUGUGCUUGGACAAAC
rnacentral:ncRNA from 1 species